GUGUGCAGCGGUGAUUGGUCCUCGCUUUACCUAAGGGACAGCCCGCGGUGGCGGCGAGGGGUCUUCUGGGAAGUCAUGGCGUCGCUCAACAGUAAAACCGCGGUCUGCGUGAUCUGUUUGGAGAAGCCGAAAUACCGCUGCCCGGCUUGCCGCGUGCCCUACUGCUCCGUCACUUGCUUCCAGAAGCACAAAGAGCAGUGCAACCCGGAAACUCGUCCUGCUGAGAACAGAAGAAUAGUAGCUCCAGUGAAUAUAAAGUCUGAGGAAAACAAAGAUGAUGAUGACUCUAUAGCGGACUUCCUCAACAGUGAUGAGGAAGAGGACAGAGUGUCUCUGCAGAAUUUAAAGAAUUUAGGUGAAUCUGCAACUUUAAGAAGUUUACUCCUCAACCCACACCUGAGACAACUGAUGGCUAACCUGGAUCAGGGUGACAACAAAGCAAAGCUGAUGAAAGCCUGCAUGCAGGAGCCUCUGUUUGUGGAGUUUGCAGACUGCUGUUUAAGAAUCGUGGAACCAUCCCGGAACAGGGAUUCUUAAAAUUUGGAUGUGCUCUUUGCUUAAGCUGCCCACUGCUCCUCCAAGGAGGAGGUUGCUUCCAAGGCUGCUACAGAACAUGUAGGUCUUUUCCAUCACUCGGCUUGCUUCAGACAGGUGGAGAACACUCAAGGUGAAGAGCCUCUAUGAAGAGUGGAACCCUGGAGUGAUGGCUCAGCUCUUCCAGAGAGAGGACCAAUCUUCAGCACUCAUGACUGCCAACACAUGUAAUUAAAGUUCCAGGGGAUCUGACACCCUCUUCUGACCUCUGAAGGAAUGUAGGCCUAAAAGGGCACAGAUUCCACAAUGAGUGACUGAACAGAUGCACAGGUGCCAUCCAUUUGCCUUCUAGGUGGACUGCCUCAGACCUGCCAUUCUCCUCAUCCCUACCUCCCUCUGUCUGGCUCAUGUUCUGAAUGCCACCAGGCUUUGGUCCUACAGCAAUGUGGCUUACUUACCGGAUGGGAAAGCCAGCAGCACUGAUGUGGAUGGUCUCCACAAGGCCACAGGCCUCCAACUGGCUCAGGACCUACAAGGGUGGGGAGACAGAGCAAGCACCUGUAGGCCAAAAAUGCCAUUUCUUUUGCACAUCUUUGGUCCUGACCUUCAGUGACAGGCAGGAUUGGCUGAUGGAGAUGUCUUUGUGGGGCCAUGAGAAACUAAAGGCCUGAAGAUCUCCCUGCUACAGGAGGUUCUGGUAGACCCACAAAUGCCCUGUCUGGUACCUGGCUCCUGACAUGGCUAAGGUCUGCAAUGGUCCUGGCUGUCUGUCACCUCUCCAGGGCUGACACCACUUCACAAUACAGAAGAGUUUAUUCUCUUCCGGCAUCAGAGUUGCUCAAGCAAGGAAGGUUAUACUGUGAAGAUUUUUACUUGGCUACACAACCACACUUACCAGGUGACUGUUGGAUAUUCCUCAGUGCUGUCCAGCACUCAUACAUCUAUACCCCCUCAGAACCUGAAACCCUGAGGAAUGAUUCUAUGUAAAUUAGGAAAUGAGUCCAGAAUAGCCGCACUGCAUGGACUGCACAGAUGUUGAACAAAUCACAGAACAGCCAUUGCCCUGAGCAGAUUCAAUCUAUUGUUAGAGUUAAGCUAGGUGAGCAGGGAGCAAGAUGUUCUGGGACAAUAAGCCCUCCUUGAUGUCCAGCCUGAGAGACUGCCUGUGAUCACUCCAUCUGGAGAUGGCUCUCCCUUUAGUUUUCUAGGCCUGGCCGGAUGGGGUUUGAUACUAGGCAGCUGUCAGUCAGGAUUAAUUACCUCUUUCUGGAGGAAGGUCUGUGGCUUACUCUGGCUGUUAGGCUUGAUACAGCGAAUGUAGUGGGGUGUUGUGCUAUGAAGGACCUGUAGGAGCUGCUCCAGUGAGGCCUACAGACAGAAAAAUCCGGGGUAAGGCAGGAUUGGGGCAGCUCAGGGUCAUAAAUGUGAGUACAUUAUGUCCUUGGUGACCCUUCCAGCCUUGACAUCAGGACCCACAUAUGCCCUGGGAACUACUGGGACCCCACUCCCCCAGACAGGGUUUCUCUGUGUAACAGUCCUGGCUGUCCUACGACUUGCAUUGUGACCAGGCUGGCCUCAAACUCAGAGCGAUCCGCCUGCCUCUGCCUCCAAGUUCUGGGAUUGAAGGCAUGCGCCACCACACCUAUCCUGGAAGUUCUUAAAGAACCUGUUAAAACACA